AGAUCAGACUUUGCACAUUUCAUACCUGACAGACCCAUUACUGAUAAGAUUCUUGAAUUAGCGGCAUUGAAAUGCACUGAUGAUCAAUCUGAUGUAAGUUUCAAGACAACAUGGCAACUUCCACCGAGAUUUGUGGUGGAUGUCUUCAACAAGAAAGAUUUAAAGAAGAAGAUGGAAGACUACAUUUAUAAAUUUAUGCAACCUACUGCUGAUUUAAAAUUU